GACCGCGUAGCUCAGUUGGAAGAGCAUUGGGCUAGUAUUCCAAAGGUCCUAGGUUCGAUUCCCACCGUGGUCA
rnacentral:tRNA from 1 species